rnacentral:rRNA from 1 species
UACGUAGGCAGCUAGCGUUGCUCGGAAUCACUGGGCGUAAAGCGCACGUAGGCGGCUUUUUAAGUCAGAGGUGAAAUCCUGGAGCUCAACUCCAGAACUGCCUUUGAUACUGGAGAGCUUGAGUCCGGGAGAGGUGAGUGGAACUGCGAGUGUAGAGGUGAAAUUCGUAGAUAUUCGCAAGAACACCAGUGGCGAAGGCGGCUCACUGGCCCGGUACUGACGCUGAGGUGCGAAAGCGUGGGGAGCAAACAGG